rnacentral:rRNA from 1 species
AUUGAACGCUGGCGGCAUGCCUUACACAUGCAAGUCGAACGGCAGCGGGGGAGAAGCUUGCUUUUCGUGCCGGCGAGUGGCGAACGGGUGAGUAAUACAUCGGAACGUGCCCUGUAGUGGGGGAUAACUAGUCGAAAGAUUAGCUAAUACCGCAUACGACCUGAGGGUGAAAGUGGGGGACCGCAAGGCCUCAUGCUACAGGAGCGGCCGAUGUCUGAUUAGCUAGUUGGUGGGGUAAAGGCCUACCAAGGCGACGAUCAGUAGCUGGUCUGAGAGGACGAUCAGCCACACUGGGACUGAGACACGGCCCAGACUCCUACGGGAGGCAGCAGUGGGGAAUUUUGGACAAUGGGCGAAGGCCUGAUCCAGCAAUGCCGCGUGUGUGAAGAAGGCCUUCGGGUUGUAUAGCACUUUUGUCCGGAAAGAAAUGGCUCUGGUUAAUACCUGGGGUCGAUGACGGUACCGGAAGAAUAAGGACCGGCUAACUACGUGCCAGCCGCCGCCGUAA